AAGGCCUUAGCUUAAUUAAAGCGUCUGAGUUGCAUUCAGGAUAUGUGGGAUAAAGUCUCGCAGGUCUUA
rnacentral:tRNA from 1 species